GAAAAAAAAACAGAAUGUUUUAUCUGAUCCGAUGCUAACCGGUUGAAAAAUUCUUUUUUUGGUUAAAAUUUAAUUUUUAAGUGCCUAUCGUGUUUCGCGGUUAGAUAGCAAAACCCUAAUGGUUAUCACCGUCAAGAGCAUGAAGGUGGUUACUUGCCUAUGCGGAACGUUUCAUUCUCGGACCGAAAAGCAGGCACUCUUGAUACCACCAGCUACGUUAAGGGAGUUGCUCACUCUACCUAACUUUCAAGUUUCCAAUAAACCACAGUACCGCCAAUAAAACCAGAGCAACCAAGACGGCAGAUACUUCCGUUUCAAAACGUUGAACAGUCUACGGCCACACUUUGAAGACUCCAUUCCGCAACAGAAAAGCAAGCG